UACGUAGGGUGCAAGCGUUAAUCGGAAUUACUGGGCGUAAAGCGUGCGCAGGCGGUUGUGUAAGACAGAUGUGAAAUCCCCGGGCUCAACUUGGGAACUGCAUUUGUGACUGCACAGCUGGAGUGCGGCAGAGGGGGAUGGAAUUCCGCGUGUAGCAGUGAAAUGCGUAGAUAUGCGGAGGAACACCGAUGGCGAAGGCAAUCCCCUGGGCCUGCACUGACGCUCAUGCACGAAAGCGUGGGGAGCAAACAGG
rnacentral:rRNA from 1 species